rnacentral:rRNA from 1 species
GCGGCAGGCUUAACACAUGCAAGUCGAGGGGCAGCAUGGGACGGAGAUUCGUCGAAGUCCUGAUGGCGACCGGCGCAAGGGUGCGUAACGCGUGAGCAACUUGCCCGUUUCUGGGGAAUAACCGGUGGAAACGCCGACUAAUACCCCAUGGCAUCAAUGAGAGGCAUCUUUUGUUGAUUAAAGAUUUAUCGGCAAAGGAUGGGCCUGCGUCUGAUUAGCUAGUUGGUGGGGUAACGGCCUACCAAGGCGACGAUCAGUAGCCGGACUGAGAGGUUGGACGGCCACAUUGGGACUGAGACACGGUCCAGACUCCUACGGGAGGCAGCAGUGAGGAAUAUUGGUCAAUGGUCUGACGACUGAACCAGCCAUGCCGCGUGAAGGUGACGGCCCUAUGGGUCUUAAACUUCUUUUGUAAGGGAGCAAUAAGUCUCACGUGUGGGAUGAUGAGAGUACCUUACGAAUAAGCAUCGGCUAACUCCGUG